CACGUAGGGCGCAAGCGUUUGUCCGGAAUUAUUGGGCGUAAAGAGCUCGUAGGCGGUCUGUUGCGUCCGCUGUGAAAACUCGGGGCUUAACCCCGAGCCUGCAGUGGAUACGGGCAGACUAGAGGUAGGUAGGGGAGAAUGGAAUUCCCGGUGUAGCGGUGAAAUGCGCAGAUAUCGGGAGGAACACCGGUGGCGAAGGCGGUUCUCUGGGCCUUACCUGACGCUGAGGAGCGAAAGCCAGGGGAGCAAACGGGG
rnacentral:rRNA from 1 species